GACGAACGCUUGCGGCGUGCUUAACACAUGCAAGUCGAACGGAAAGGCCCUGCUUUUGUGGGGUGCUCGAGUGGCGAACGGGUGAGUAACACGUGAGUAACCUGCCCUUGACUUUGGGAUAACUUCAGGAAACUGGGGCUAAUACCGGAUAGGAGCUCCUGCUGCAUGGUGGGGGUUGGAAAGUUUCGGCGGUUGGGGAUGGACUCGCGGCUUAUCAGCUUGUUGGUGGGGUAGUGGCUUACCAAGGCUUUGACGGGUAGCCGGCCUGAGAGGGUGACCGGCCACAUUGGGACUGAGAUACGGCCCAGACUCCUACGGGAGGCAGCAGUGGGGAAUAUUGCACAAUGGGCGGAAGCCUGAUGCAGCAACGCCGCGUGCGGGAUGACGGCCUUCGGGUUGUAAACCGCUUUCGCCCGUGACGAAGCGUGAGUGACGGUAAUGGGUAAAGAAGCACCGGCUAACUACGUGCCAGCAGCCGCGGUGAUACGUAGGGUGCGAGCGUUGUCCGGAUUUAUUGGGCGUAAAGGGCUCGUAGGUGGUUGAUCGCGUCGGAAGUGUAAUCUUGGGGCUUAACCCUGAGCGUGCUUUCGAUACGGGUUGACUUGAGGAAGGUAGGGGAGAAUGGAAUUCCUGGUGGAGCGGUGGAAUGCGCAGAUAUCAGGAGGAACACCAGUGGCGAAGGCGGUUCUCUGGGCCUUUCCUGACGCUGAGGAGCGAAAGCGUGGGGAGCGAACAGGCUUAGAUACCCUGGUAGUCCACGCUGUAAACGGUGGGUACUAGGUGUGGGGUCCAUUCCACGGGUUCCGUGCCGUAGCUAACGCUUUAAGUACCCCGCCUGGGGAGUACGGCCGCAAGGCUAAAACUCAAAGGAAUUGACGGGGCCCCGCACAAGCGGCGGAGCAUGCGGAUUAAUUCGAUGCAACGCGUAGAACCUUACCUGGGUUUGACAUGGAUCGGGAGUGCUCAGAGAUGGGUGUGCCUCUUUUGGGGUCGGUUCACAGGUGGUGCAUGGCUGUCGUCAGCUCGUGUCGUGAGAUGUUGGGUUAAGUCCCGCAACGAGCGCAACCCUUGUUCACUGUUGCCAGCACGUUAUGGUGGGGACUCAGUGGAGACCGCCGGGGUCAACUCGGAGGAAGGUGGGGAUGACGUCAAGUCAUCAUGCCCCUUAUGUCCAGGGCUUCACGCAUGCUACAAUGGCUGGUACAGAGAGUGGCGAGCCUGUGAGGGUGAGCGAAUCUCGGAAAGCCGGUCUCAGUUCGGAUUGGGGUCUGCAACUCGACCUCAUGAAGUAGGAGUCGCUAGUAAUCGCAGAUCAGCAACGCUGCGGUGAAUACGUUCCCGGGGAU
rnacentral:rRNA from 1 species